rnacentral:rRNA from 1 species
GCCCUUUCCGGUUGAUCCUGCCGGAGGACAUUGCUAUUGGGAUUCGAUUUAGCCAUGCUAGUCGGACGAGUUCAGACUCGUGGCGAAUAGCUCAGUAACACGUGGCCAAGCUACCCUUCAGACCGUGAUACCCUCGGGAAACUGAGGUCAAUAACGGAUACGGUAUCCAUGUUGGAAGACAGGAUACUCCAAACGCUUUCCGCGCUGAAGGAUGCGGCUGCGGCCGAUUAGGUAGACGGUGGGGUAACGGCCCACCGUGCCAAUAAUUGGUACGGGUCAUGAGAGUGAGAGCCCGGAGACGGAAUCUGAGACAAGAUUCCGGGCCCUACGGGGCGCAGCAGGCGCGAAACCUUUACACUGCACGCACGUGCGAUAGGGGAAUCCCAAGUGCGAGGGCAUACUAGCCCUCGCUUUUGUGUACCCUAAGGCGGUACACGAAUAAGAGCUGGGCAAGACCGGUGCCAGCCGCCGCGGUAAUACCGGCAGCUCGAGUGAUGUCCAAUUUUAUUGGGCCUAAAGCGUCCGUAGCUGGCCAGCCAAGUUCGUCGGGAAAUCCACCUGCCCAACAGGUGGGCGUCCGGCGAAAACUGUCUGGCUUGGAACCGGAAGGCUCAGAGGGUACGUCCGGGGUAGGAGUGAAAUCCUGUAAUCCCGGACGGACCACCGAUGGCGAAAGCACUCUGAGAAGACGGAUUCGACAGUGAGGGACGAAAGCUAGGGUCUCGAACCGGAUUAGAUACCCGGGUAGUCCUAGCUGUAAACGAUGCUCGUUAGAUGUGGCACCCACUAC